rnacentral:pre_miRNA from 1 species
GUACUACUCCCUCCGUUCGGAAAUACUUGUCAUCAAAAUGGAUAAAAUGAGAUGUAUCUAGAUGUAUUUUAGUUCUAAAUACAUCCCUUUUUAUCCAUUUUGAUGACAAGUAUUUUCAGACGGAGGGAGUACAUC